UUUCUCAAAUGGAAGGAGAUCAAGAGAUAGAGGUGGGGAGAGAGAGGCGGGAAAGGGGAUAAGGAUAGAAUGGAAGUGUGCCGAGUGCACGUACGGACAGACUCCACCCGAGGAACGUAAACAGUAUGUACUAAAACACGUGCAAUAAAAAAGGAAGAAAUUGGUACUCCUCUUCUCCUGUUAAUCUGCCCACUGUUAGUUUAUUUCACAGACUCAAGUGUCAAACCCUUGGAGGGUGGAGGGAGAUUUUCCCCCUCUACACUGGAAUGCAAGGCUUAAUUCCCAGUUACAGGGAUUCUAAGGAGCAGCCUCACUGGGAUGCAGAAGUGGGAGGGGUGGAACCUGUCCUUCCCAGCUGUCACUGUACCCCGUUAUCUGUUCUCCAAUGUGUCUGCUCCCCCAGUCCAUUCCAUCCGCACGUGUGUGAGAUGGAAAAAAUGACCUCUGAGUGUCAGUUGUGGUCCCUGCUGGGCUCCCAUCCAGGCUGACCCGGGGGCAGGUGUGAGUCCUCUGUCCCCAGGGCUUCUGGAGGGACAGUUUGUUUUGCAGGGCUGCAGCCAAGAAGGAGAGUGAAAGCCUCCCGCACAGCCUUGGAGCCUCACACGGCCACUUCCAGCUGCCCGGGCUCCUCAGGGGCGAAGGAGAUGAGCGCUGACACCACCACACCAGUACCAGCACUCCCAGGCUGUCCUGCCUCUGCCAGCCAGACCCUUCCAGGGAUGUGGAGGAGGGCUGCAUGCCAGGCACAGGCUGGAGCGAGAUGUAACUGAGCAAAAGCAGACCCUGAAGACGGCAUGGCACCCAGAUAAUGCUGGGCACCAGCAGGAGGGCGUUCAGUCCUUGCUCAGUGGAUCAAGAAAGGGUACUGUUCCUGCGGCACAGAAGGCCCUGGCCUGCGCCCAACGUAGCUCUGAAAGGACCACAGUCUUGGCUGCUGUUCUGCGGCUGUGUCUAACAAGGACGAUCACCUGCCAAGGAGGAGUGGGGACAGCCAAACUCCAACCCAGGCAGCUGGGGUGCAAUCAUGACCAAUUAGGCCCCCCACUGCUCCCUGUC